GCACCCGCUCUCCGUCUCCGUCGCCUGGGACCGGCGCCCCGGGGAUGCCGCGGGCGGCGCCACCGACCUCCCGGCGGGCCUCGCCACCGGAUCGCGUGGCAGGCACAAGGUCAUGGCCUUCGUCGGGAUCUUCACCGGGUUCGGCUCCGUCGGCCGCUGCCGCGCGCUCAGGCGGACGUGGCUCCCCUCCGAUCGGCAGGGUCUCCUGCGGUUAGUUGUCGCUGGUACCACAGCUUCCUGGUUCAUGUUCGCUUGUGUUGCUCGAGAUCUAGCUUUAGUGCUGAACUGUUGA
rnacentral:rRNA from 1 species